rnacentral:rRNA from 1 species
GAUGAACGCUGGCGGCGUGCCUAAUACAUGCAAGUCGAGCGAACAGACGAGGAGCUUGCUCCUCUGACGUUAGCGGCGGACGGGUGAGUAACACGUGGAUAACCUACCUAUAAGACUGGGAUAACUUCGGGAAACCGGAGCUAAUACCGGAUAAUAUAUUGUACCGCAUGGUUCAAUAGUGAAAGACGGUUUUGCUGUCACUUAUAGAUGGAUCCGCGCCGCAUUAGCUAGUUGGUAAGGUAACGGCUUACCAAGGCAACGAUGCGUAGCCGACCUGAGAGGGUGAUCGGCCACACUGGAACUGAGACACGGUCCAGACUCCUACGGGAGGCAGCAGUAGGGAAUCUUCCGCAAUGGGCGAAAGCCUGACGGAGCAACGCCGCGUGAGUGAUGAAGGUCUUCGGAUCGUAAAACUCUGUUAUUAGGGAAGAACAAAUGUGUGAGUAACUAUGCACGUCUUGACGGUACCUAAUCAGAAAGCCACGGCUAACUACGUG